rnacentral:rRNA from 1 species
GGUUCCUACUUGCUUAAAACGGGGGGAGGAUUGUAAGGCUCUUUACCCAAGGAAGAGGAUACUGAGGUUUGUACUCUGGGGUAAUGGACGUUACUCGCAGAAUAAACACCGGCUAACUCUGUGCCAGCAGCCGCGGUAAUACAGAGGGUGCGAGCGUUAAUCGGAUUUACUGGGCGUAAAGCGUGCGUAGGCGGCUUUUUAAGUCGGAUGUGAAAUCCCCGAACUUAACUUGGGAAUUGCAUUCGAUACUGGGAAGCUAGAGUAUGGGAGAGGAUGGUAGAAUUCCAGGUGUAGCGGUGAAAUGCGUAGAGAUCUGGAGGAAUACCGAUGGCGAAGGCAGCCAUCUGGCCUAAUACUGACGCUGAGGUACGAAAGCAUGGGGAGCAAACAGGAUUAGAUACCCUGGUAGUCCAUGCCGUAAACGAUGUCUACUAGCCGUUGGGGCCUUUGAGGCUUUAGUGGCGCAGCUAACGCGAUAAGUAACCGCCUGGGGAGUACGGUCGCAAGACUAAAACUCAAA